rnacentral:rRNA from 1 species
GGGGAAUAUUGGGCAAUGGGCGAAAGCCUGACCCAGCGACGCCGCGUGGGCGAUGAAGGCCUUCGGGUUGUAAAGCCCUGUCAUGCGGAAAGAACGACCCUGUGACGCAUACUCACAGGGAGUGACGGUACCGCAGGAGGAAGCACCGGCUAACUCCGUGCCAGCAGCCGCGGUAAUACGGAGGGUGCAAGCGUUGUUCGGAAUUAUUGGGCGUAAAGGGCGCGUAGGCGGUAAUGUAAGUCAGAUGUGAAAUACUCCGGCUCAACCAGAGAAUUGCAUCUGAAACUGCAUAACUAGAGUACAGAAGAGGGAAACGGAAUUCCCGGUGUAGAGGUGAAAUUCGUAGAUAUCGGGAGGAACACCAGUGGCGAAGGCGGUUUCCUGGUCUGAUACUGACGCUGAGGCGCGAAAGCGUGGGGAGCAAAC